rnacentral:RNase_P_RNA from 1 species
GAAGCUGACCAGACAGUCGCCGCUUCGUCGUCGUCCUCCUUCGGGGGGAGACGGGCGGAGGGGAGGAAAGUCCGGGCUCCAUAGGGCAAGGUGCAAGGUAACGCCUGGGGGGUGUCACAGCCCACGACCAGUGCAACAGAGAGCAAACCGCCGAUGGCCCGCGCAAGCGGGAUCAGGUAAGGGUGAAAGGGUGCGGUAAGAGCGCACCGCGCGGCUGGUAACAGUCCGCGGCACGGUAAACUCCACCCGGAGCAAGGCCAAAUAGGGGUUCAUAAGGUACGGCCCGUACUGAACCCGGGUAGGCUGCUUGAGCCAGUGAGCGAUUGCUGGCCUAGAUGAAUGACUGUCCACGACAGAACCCGGCUUAUCGGUCAGUUUCACCU